rnacentral:rRNA from 1 species
UUUAAAGAAAGCGUAACAGCUCACUGGUCUAAAUAAGAGGUUCUGCGGCGAAGAUGUAACGGGGCUAAAGUGAUGCACCGAAGCUUAGGGUGUGGCGUAAGCCACGCGGUAGCGGAGCGUUCCGUAAGCCUGUGAAGCGAUCUGGUAAUGGGUCGUGGAGGUAUCGGAAGUGCGAAUGCAGACAUGAGUAGCGAUAAAAAGGGUGAGAUGCCCUUUCGCCGAAAGACCAAGGGUUCCUGCGCAAGGCUAAUCCGCGCAGGGUGAGUCGGCCCCUAAGACGAGCCCGAAGGGGGUAGUCGAUGGGAACACGGUUAAUAUUCCGUGACCUGGUGGUGUGUGACGGAUCUCGUGUGUUGUCUUUCCUUAUUGGAUUGGAAAGGCUUCGAAGAGGUCCCAGGAAAUAGCCCCACCGUAUAGACCGUACCCGAAACCGACACAGGUGGUCAGGUAGAGUAUACCAAGGCGCUUGAGAGAAGUCUCCUGAAGGAACUCGGCAAAUUGCCUCCGUACCUUCGGAAGAAGGAGGCCCCAACUAAGCGCAAGCUCUGUUGGGGGGCACAGGCCAGGGGGUAGCGACUGUUUAGCAAAAACACAGCACUCUGCUAAGUCGGCUUCAAGACGACGUAUAGGGUGUGACGCCUGCCCGGUGCCUGAAGGUUAAGUGGAGGGGUGCAAGCUCCGAAACGAAGCCCAGGUAAACGGCGGCCGUAACGAUAACGGUCCUAAGGUAGCG